rnacentral:rRNA from 1 species
AGUGAACGCUGGCGGUAGGCCUAACACAUGCAAGUCGAACGGCAGCACAGUAAGAGCUUGCUCUUACGGGUGGCGAGUGGCGGACGGGUGAGGAAUAAAUCGGAAUCUACUUUUUCGUGGGGGAUAACGUAGGGAAACUUACGCUAAUACCGCAUACGACCUACGGGUGAAAGCAGGGGAUCUUCGGACCUUGCGCGAUUGAAUGAGCCGAUGCCGGAUUAGCUAGUUGGCGGGGUAAAGGCCCACCAAGGCGACGAUCCGUAGCUGGUCUGAGAGGAUGAUCAGCCACACUGGAACUGAGACACGGUCCAGACUCCUACGGGAGGCAGCAGUGGGGAAUAUUGGACAAUGGGCGCAAGCCUGAUCCAGCCAUACCGCGUGGGUGAAGAAGGCCUUCGGGUUGUAAAGCCCUUUUGUUGGGAAAGAAAAGCAGCAGGUUAAUACCCCGCUGUUCUGACGGUACCCAAAGAAUAAGCACCGGCUAACUUCGCG